rnacentral:rRNA from 1 species
GACGAACGCUGGCGGCGUGCUUAACACAUGCAAGUCGUACGGUAAGGCCCUUUCGGGGGUACACGAGUGGCGAACGGGUGAGUAACACGUGAGUAACCUGCCCACAACUUUGGGAUAACGCUAGGAAACUGGUGCUAAUACUGGAUAUGUGCUCCUGCUGCAUGGUGGGGGUUGGAAAGCUCCGGCGGUUGUGGAUGGACUCGCGGCCUAUCAGCUUGUUGGUGGGGUAGUGGCCUACCAAGGCGGCGACGGGUAGCCGGCCUGAGAGGGUGACCGGCCACAUUGGGACUGAGAUACGGCCCAGACUCCUACGGGAGGCAGCAGUGGGUAAUAUUGCACAAUGGGCGCAAGCCUGAUGCAGCAACGCCGCGUGCGGGAUAACGGCCUUCGGGUUGUAAACCGCUUUCAGCAGGGACGAAGCUUUUUGUGACGGUACCUGCAGAAGAAGCACCGGCUAACUACGUG